UGAAGAAAUAACAACCUGACAAGAAACACAAGAUGCUCGAGCAGCAAGCUAUAUAUGUAUAGGAGACCGGAAGAGGUUCUACGGUGAUCAUUCACUUGGGAUUGCACUGCUCUUUUCCUUUUCCUGUGCUGAAAGGACAUCCUUGAAAACAGAGCCAUCUGAAGAAGAUUGGAUUCCUGUGACCAGACCGUGAUAUUCCCACUCUUCCCGAGGAUUCCCACGGUUUGCUCUGGAAAGAGCAAGUAUCGAGUGCAGGAAAAGAUGCACAAAGCGGUGCUCGGAAGGGUCACAAGGAUUGCCUAUUCUGGCAAGCAACGAGCACAAGGCAGGAUACACCCUGGACAGGAGUCCAGUCCAUCAUGCACAAUCACAUCAGGGCCAAUUUUCCCAGAUGCCGUUGAACCUCACUGUAUGCCUUUGGACUGUGGGGGGA